rnacentral:rRNA from 1 species
AUUGAACGCUGGCGGCAUGCUUUACACAUGCAAGUCGAACGGCAGCGCGGGCUUCGGCCUGGCGGCGAGUGGCGAACGGGUGAGUAAUACAUCGGAACGUGCCCAGUAGUGGGGGAUAGCUCGGCGAAAGCCGGAUUAAUACCGCAUACGACCUGAGGGUGAAAGCGGGGGAUCUUCGGACCUCGCGCUAUUGGAGCGGCCGAUGGCAGAUUAGCUAGUUGGUGGGGUAAAGGCCUACCAAGGCGACGAUCUGUAGCUGGUCUGAGAGGACGACCAGCCACACUGGGACUGAGACACGGCCCAGACUCCUACGGGAGGCAGCAGUGGGGAAUAUUGGACAAUGGGCGAAAGCCUGAUCCAGCAAUGCCGCGUGUGUGAUGAAGGCCUUCGGGUUGUAAAGCACUUUUGGCGGGAACGAAAAGGACUGUGCCAAUACCACGGUUCGAUGACGGUACCCGCAGAAUAAGCACCGGCUAACUACGUG